UGUGUUGUUUCGAGCUACAGGAGUCAGGAAAAGUUGUCUCGUUCUUUAUUACUCAAAGCAGGACAACUUCAAGUGCAUGUUGAUGCAACAAGAUAUGUGUCACGCCUGUGCCUAAACAAAAGCGGCACUCUUACCAAGAAACAUCACUGCAUAGGCAACCCUAUGAAAUGUGGGUGCAGGUCCACCACAAAAAUGCACAAGUACGGUACACCAGGUUUCCCGGCACAGUGACAACGUGCGCUUAGUAGGCAACUAAGCGCUGCACAGAAAUGGCAGGGAGGAUUGGACGCCACAGCAUCAGCUAUGACAUGCCAACUAGACUCUUGAGAAGCAUGGAUAGGAGGCUCACAUUAUCGUGGAAGAUGUGCUCGCUGCGGAAGCCGGAGGGACCACCAAUGCCUGAGCUGCGUUCGGAGAGUCUGCUGAACUGGCGACGACGACUUUCCCGUGUUGCCACUUCCUGGCCUUCCGAA